UAUUAGUUUGUGUUAGUUAAUCCUACCGGCUAAAAUUCACAAUCGAUCUGCUCAGAAUCUGAUAAGUUAUCUCACUUCCUGUUUAAAGGUGUAUAAGUUACCUGGUAAUAUUUGCAUAACUAUCGCACUUAGAAUGAAAUGAUUCGACGCUUCAACCUGUGUUCGCCUCUUCUAACAGAUGGCAACCCUUUACAGUUUCUAAGUCGGCGCUACUCUGACGCUGGCUUCAUUUGCUAGUGGGUAAGUGUGUUUGUUCCCUCCGUUGUACACUAUAUGGACAAAAGUAUUCAGACACAUCUCUUUAUUAUUGAGUUCAGGUGUGGU